rnacentral:rRNA from 1 species
UGGGGAAUAUUGCACAAUGGGCGCAAGCCUGAUGCAGCCAUGCCGCGUGUGUGAAGAAGGCCUUCGGGUUGUAAAGCACUUUCAGCGAGGAGGAAGGUGGUGAGCUUAAUACGCUCAUCAAUUGACGUUACUCGCAGAAGAAGCACCGGCUAACUCCGUGCCAGCAGCCGCGGUAAUACGGAGGGUGCAAGCGUUAAUCGGAAUUACUGGGCGUAAAGCGCACGCAGGCGGUUUGUUAAGUCAGAUGUGAAAUCCCCGGGCUCAACCUGGGAACUGCAUUUGAAACUGGCAAGCUAGAGUCUCGUAGAGGGGGUAGAAUUCCAGGUGUAGCGGUGAAAUGCGUAGAGAUCUGGAGGAAUACCGGUGGCGAAGGCGGCCCCCUGGANGAAGACUGACGCUCAGGUGCGAAAGCGUGGGGAGCAAACAG